rnacentral:rRNA from 1 species
AUUGGACGCUGGCGGCAUGCUUUACACAUGCAAGUCGAACGGCAGCACGGGGGCAACCCUGGUGGCGAGUGGCGAACGGGUGAGUAAUACAUCGGAACGUGCCCGGUCGUGGGGGAUAACGUAGCGAAAGUUACGCUAAUACCGCAUACGAUCUGAGGAUGAAAGCGGGGGACCUUCGGGCCUCGCGCGAUCGGAGCGGCCGAUGUCAGAUUAGGUAGUUGGUGGGGUAAAGGCCUACCAAGCCGACGAUCUGUAGCUGGUCUGAGAGGACGACCAGCCACACUGGGACUGAGACACGGCCCAGACUCCUACGGGAGGCAGCAGUGGGGAAUUUUGGACAAUGGGCGCAAGCCUGAUCCAGCCAUGCCGCGUGCAGGACGAAGGCCUUCGGGUUGUAAACUGCUUUUGUAUGGAACGAAAAGGCUCUGGCUAAUACCUGGGGCUCAUGACGGUACCGGAAGAAUAAGCACCGGCUAACUACGUG